UAAUGCAACGUUUGGCAGAACCUGAAUAAAAAUAGCCAUAUCUAUAUUAUAUAGCAUGACCCUGCUUAUGAGCUAUACCAACACAAAAAUCAUGUACAUGGUUUAAAUUUUAAAUAAUAAUAACAUAAAGAAAGAAACAUAUGGAAUAGAAAAUUGAAACAGAAAGGACUCCAAGAAUAGCAAUAAGCAGUUGUCUUGCUCACAAGGCUGGCAUUGCCAAAUGCCUCUGUCCCUCCACGAAAGAUGUAUUACUUACCAUCCUAAGUCUAAAAGGAUUACUUUAAUGUUUAUCACCAUAUAUCACGUCAU
rnacentral:misc_RNA from 1 species